GCCUCGUAUGGGAUGCUAAGUUAAGCACUCAUACUCUGGGAGAAGCAGGCCCUGGUAGCUGUCCCUGCUGGGUGCACCACGGGAAGAGGAACUGGCUUCUUUCCCUUCUCUCAAUUCGGCCUUCAUCUUCACCCAGCAGGUUUGCAACUAUUAAGUGUAGGAACCACAUGUACCACCAGAUGAGGCCAUCGAUUGUGAGGAAGACAAAAGGCAUCUGUCCCUAGGCGCAGGUCAAGCUCCAGAUUUGGUACUGAGUGCUUUUCUCUGAAACUGGCUGAACGCAAGUUUGGGACGCUCCUCUCCUCUCAGCACAGACUUAAACAGAAAGCGGCACCUCUCCUCCCAGCUUCUGCCUCCUUUCCAGAGAGUCUCUACACUGGACCAAGUUUAUAAACUUCAUGACUAUGCUGGCAAAACUGCAGUGAUGUGGGAGCCAGGCAGAUAGUCACCGUUUUCCAAAUGGCUGCUAUUGCAGAAAGGCAGGCUGUGCUCUGUGGCUACGCGGUAACCCUGACAAGUAACCCCAGAAGCUCAGCCCACUCCUCCCAACCUUUCCGUUAAAUUAUCACCCGCGCCUUCUUUACCACUAAAUCUGAGUGAACUCAUUCUGGCAAGAAACAAAGGCUGAUAUAAGAAGGAAUCAAAAUCUUACCUCGAAAAUGCCUUCAACCCAGAUUUUGUCCGAGACGAGAACACAAAUGCAGGCAUACGUUUUUCAGAAGACACCUGUCUUUGUUACAGUCCUGGAUCUGAAUGUGUCCCGACUCAGGAUCUGCCACGGCCAAGUCCUCUCUGCUCUGCAAUGACAAGAGAGCUCCGAGUCAAACUCACUGGAAGGCCCACCUAAGCCUGAGAUGUACGGCUGUUUGCGGCUACACGCACCUUGAAGUUGUUACUCUUUGUUCACCAAGAAAAUGAAAUUUCAAGGAACCAAAAAUAUUUGUCAUUUCAGGACAUUAAAAUCAAGAGUGGAUUUCAACCAAAAUCUUCUCUCAUGGUCCUUACGUCACCUCUGAACUCCUCCACCCUGCUCCUAACUUGUUCUCCAGCUCUCCCCGUGGUCUUGUGAUGGCUGCUCCUCACUUCGGCAUGGCUCGUCUUGGGAUGCAGACAAAAAUGGGCUCCUUGUGUGUUGUCUUCUUUAUGGUGCACUAAUGCAUGGCCAGUUAUAAUUUAGCCCAAGGGUAGCAUCAUGCAGUAAACCACACUACAGUAAUUACUAGCUUCUGCAGUGUUAUUUACGGGACUACCCUACUAGGGUUAUUUUAUAACAUUGUUAUAGAUUAAUAGUGAUACCGCUGCCUUCAGUGUGCAGACUUUGCUAUGGGUUAAGACCCAUGGAGGCCUGUACCAUUCAAGAGAGCCAUGCAAUAAAAAUAAAAGAAUCAUUUCUAGUAAGUUCUGACUCUGAUUAAAAAACAAUCUUUAUGAAAUAGACGCUAAUAAAAUUGCUUUCCUAAUUACCCAGAGCUAGUUCAUUUCCCAGCAAAUAUAAUAAAACAGAGUUACUUGGCUCUGAUUCACAAAAUCUGAACCCAAGCUCAUUAUUAAGGCAUUUAGCAGUGAAAAAGCAUGUGUGCAUAAGAUGCUGUCCCGUCAAGCAGAAUGCAAGAAAUCUUUUGAAGUUAGACCUUUGAAGUCUCAAGUUAUUGCUGCAUUUUUUUAACGCAGGUAUUUCAACAAGAGAAAAUCUCUCUGUGUUAUUUACACAGAUGGAACAGGGCACCCUAUUAUACCAUCAUAUUCAGUGGAGAUUUCGGUUAGAAGCAGAAAGUCUUAAUUUAAAGAAAUAUUUAGAGCUAGUACAUAGCACUUCUUAAUCUGUGGAACCAUUACAAGGCUGCAAGACUUUUACAUAAUAGAAUAGACCAGCCAGCGUCCCAAGGCUAUUAUUGCUAUGACUUGUAACACACUGAAAUCUCUUUCAUCUGCCUAACCUGGGAUUUUGAUUAUUGUAAAUGCAUGAAUAUCUUUGUUUAGGGGGUUAUGUUUAUGUUUUAUUUAUUUGUGCUUAUGUUCUGCUUUCUUCAAAACUUUCUGUUUUUGCUAGAUGCGCAGAUGUUCUACCAGGCUCUCCUGUUCUCCUCACUCUGCUAGGAGCACCUGCAACAUCCUGAGCUUGAUUCCCACAGUGACUGCAGGCUGGAGCUCCAGAUUUCUAAGAAUGCAGAGUGCUGGGACAGGACGGGGCAGGACACCAGCUUCUCCACUACAGGAAGCACAUGGAGAGAGAGACCUGAUAUGCACAAGCUACGCUGGUGGAAGUGCAGACAGAGAACCUCAGUGGUACCAGGGUAAGAAGGGCUCAGAGGAUCAGAGCUCCCAAAUCAUGCACAGGCCGGGGACACUUCUGAAGGCAUUAUCUCUGCAAAUCCAUCCCAUCCUCUCGCACUCCAAAGCAACAGUGCCUUUAUUUGAGUUUGACUUUUUUAGGUGUUUACAAAGACCUGUUUUCUUCUCCAUAUCAAAUACCUACGAUGCACCCUGCCAGGAAAGGUAUACUCCAGGUUCAAAACUCCUAGAAUUUAAAUGGUACAAACUCCUGGUUUGUACCCAGGUUCAAAACCUGGGUACAAUCUAAUAUUACUGAAAGCAUUUUAAAAGUAUAAAGAGAUCUUAGGAAGUCACCCUCUGCCUCUCUGCUUCAUGUCAGGAGCAUCUACACCUAAACCCUUCCCAACAGCUGCUUCCUGAGAGCACUCCUCUACUUUCCAGACCGCAGCAAGCCCUUUGAGCUAGCUGGUUAAGGUGGCCCCUGCAGCCCAGGGACACUCAGCAGCCUCCAUCCCGUGCCAGUAGGAUGUGCCACCUGAUCUCUCUGUGCCUUGUGGUUUUUUUUGGCACCCGUGUACUGUAUCUGCCUAGUGUGGAGACAAUCCCAUUGCAGACCAAAUGCCCAUCCUGGCAGACAGACGGACACAUUCCCCUGAGGACAGGAAAGAGGAGGGAAAUUCCCCCCUGCAGACCUGUCCAUAGGGCUGCUCCCCAGCUAACUUUUGGGCUACAGCUUGUGCUUUCAACAGAACACUCAGGAUGUAAACCCAUCCUAUACUCAUCCAGAGCCAGACCUCCAUAAAAUUAGCAAUUCUAAAGACAUUUCCAUGCUAUAAAAGUAACAGAUUAGUACUUGUUUUGGUUUAAAUUUGUCAUACUAUUUAUAUUUGAAGAAAAAAAAAAAGAAAAAAAAAAAUGUUUAGAAAAAGCUCUCAACCUAAACCCUGUCUCACUGCUAAAGCGAGCUGCUUCUCCUUCAAAUCAAUGCGUCUCCAAUGCCCUUGGAAGUGACUGCAGGACCAGGGCCUUCGGUAGCAAUUCUCUUGGUGCUGCAUGAGUCAGAAAAGAAUCCAGCUGCCUCUGUAGAGCGCUAUGGGUUCCACUAAGCUCCUUGGGGACAAAAAGCAGGAAAAGCUUCUUUCAAUCAGUGGAUUAAGCAGCUACGACUCAGAAUUCACAUCAGAGAUGAUCUGUGGAGUGAGAAGGUGCCGUUUUUACACAGUCCUUUCCUUAACCAUAGCCACGCCGCAGCGCAGCUUGCUGCGGCUUGCGCACACCUCCUGUCCCCUCCUGCCGCUUGUGGUGGCAUCUGCGAUACCUCGGCUCCAGGGGAUGUGCUAAGGAUAAAGUUUCUAUCUCAACUUCAGAUUGCUUUGUUUUUUUGCGGUGGUAAGUUAGAUCCUUAACAUUAUCUUAAUGCACUUUUUAUGGUUUAAUUUCCCCUUUUGUGGUGCUGUUUUCCUCAAUAAGACUCUUAAAUUGAAAUCAGAUUUCCUCUGAAGGAGCCAGCCUGAUUUUCUUCGAAAGCCCAGUACAAUACAGUCAUUCCGCUGAGACUGACAAUUUUAUUAUGGUUGCAUUUCCUUUUUGCCUACAAAAUGUUUGUUUUAUAAAUAGGCCUUUUUAAUUUAAUGUAAUUUUUGUACAACAGCAGAAACAGUCAAAAAAAACACACAACACAGCUACAAAAUUUUGUUUUUCUUAUACACGCCUUCCUUAAUUUACUUUCUGUUGGCUGGGGAGGGGAAAUCAACUUUUUACCUAAGGCAAAAUGUAUGUAAAAUAUCAAUCUAAAGUAAAACUCAGCUCCCCUGCCUUCAAGCCACAUAUCACUGAAGAUGUAGUCUUGUAAUUAAAAAUAGCAAACAAAAAAAAAGGCCUACAAACAAAAUAACUACAUUGCACUUUAAUGAAUGAGACAACUACAAGCAGAAACAUGACAAGGACUAUGGAAACUAAUCAACUGACAAUUGCUUUUACAAUUUUUACACCACUCAUGAUUUAACAAGGGGGGUGGUUUUGUUUUUUUUCAUCACAUGCUUAAUUUUAAGCAUGUGAAAAGUUCCAUUGGCCUCAGUGGCAUUUUUGUUUGUUUGGUUGGUUUUUUUAUACCUUUAAGAUUGCCUAAAUGCUUAAGCAUCUUGUGGAAUUAUGGUCUCCCUUUGGACUGUCAAAUUGCUCUUGUAUCUAUUUGCUCCAAGAGGACGCAAAGCCUGCUGUGGGGAGCUCCAGCUCUCCGUGCACAUCCCACUGGACAAAUCUAGGUCACGCAGCACGAGCUAGUUCAUCGUCCCCAUCCCCAUCCUGGCCAUGAGCUGGUCCCACAUGCCUGGCUCUUCUCCCUACAUAGCCAGAGUGGAAAAGGAAGGCAGGAGAAAGAAAGAUUUGUUGACCUCAUAACAGCACUGGGAUGCAGCUGAACAUGACGUUGGCCUCAGGGGCUAAAAGCACUGGUUAAACUGGGAGCAGUCUUCACUGCCCAGCUUGGUGUCACCUUUUGGGGUCCGCAGCACAGAGCACACCUCUGCCAGAAUUUAUGCUUCCCCUACAAGUCCUGACAAUCAAAUGGCGCAUCCAUUCAAACAGCCAUCUAAUAGAAAAGGAGGAAAGUCUUCCUGACACACGCAUCCAGAUUACUUUUUAUAUUUCUGUAGUCAUCAACAACUGGUCUGAAUUGCUCUGUAAUGGUUUAAAUUCUGGUAACAGGUUUCAUAUGCUUGCUAUAACAUCUCAGCGUAUUAAUUAGUUUUCAAGACCCCCAAGCAAUAAAAAUGUAGCCAUUCAAGGUCACAGUUUGACUUAUUUACAAUUGAUGUAUAACUUGGCAAACUCUGCAUUCAGCUACUUCGUACAAUAGAAAAUAUAUUGUCAUUCAGGUUAACAAAAGACUCUUUUCUUUGCCACCUCACUACAAUGGCCCUGCAAAUGAACAUCGCCUGAAUAAAAUCCUAACCACAUUUUCACUCUCAUUAACCACAGUAGGGUAUCACACAAUUUGCCUGGCUCCUACUUAGACCACUGUGCACCAUUUUACUAGCAGCAGUUUGAUGGGUUUUAUGGCAGGUGAUAUAUGGAGUGGGAGUUUCGGGAGUCGUAAACAGAAGCCACAGUGUAUCACAAUGUGGUUUAGGGAUAUAAUGACUGUGUUGUAAAGCAAAGGAUGACAAUACUGCACUAGGCUUGAGGUAGUGAACCAAUAGACCAAACAGCUCAACAUAAUUCAAGCUACAAACAGAGGAUCCUAGGUGUGUGCUGGCCUUCCUAUAUCUUUCAUUAAUUACCCCUGAUGAAUUUGAAUACGAACUACUAAAACUGAAAUAAAUCUGUAUCCAAGAGAAAAAUUAUAGAGUAACUCCUUGUAUUUCUUGGAAGAAGUUCCUCUGCCCCAGUGCACAAACACACAUCCCACACUAGCAGUUCUGAACCAACCUUUUGCAUCUCCUUUGCUGCUGGGGCUAUCAUCACUUACUGCCAAGCCAGAACAAAUGCCAGCCUGGAGACCUUUUGCACACAAGCAGGGGGCAGGUUCUGCUCUUAGCUACGUCUGCAGAAGCUGGGCUGAAUGCUACUCUGAGCAGAAAUACCUCCCUACAUAUAUUGUUCAUAUUUAUUCAUGCUCUGACAUCAGACAAUGCUCUACUUUUUCCAUGGAGCACUACUGGGUUCUGCCAGUCCUACCAAUGCUCUUAAUUCACAUCCUAGCUUGAUCACUUUUGUGGCUGAUUCAUUUGUGCCUGGCUGAUCCUGCUGUGCUGUAUUUGGAUUGGGAUUUCUGCAGUGGUCCUGUACUGGUCAAUCCCUGCAAGUCUUGCAGAGGUGUGGUUUUGGUGUUUUUUUGUUUGUUUGUUUGUUUGUUUUGUUGUUGUUGUUUGAUUUUGUUUUGUUUUGGUUUGUUUGUUUUGUUUGUUGUUUUUUUUGGGGGGGGUUGUUGGUUGGUUACAGAUCUUGUCUAAUUAUGGCACAGAAUAAGAAAAUUGUCUACCUGGUUCCCCAAGCUGUGUCAUUAGCCACAUUGUGAUAGAUUGGUGUCAGUGACAGAGCUUUCUCCCAGCAUUCAAAGCCUGCUCAGUUGCGUUUAAACUAAAUAACAAUACUUAGCGCAUCUAGUGCUUUGCAUAUUCAAAGCGCUGUACAAACAUCAAUUAAUUAAUCCUCAUAACAUCCCUGUGAGGUAGGUAAGUAUUAUCUCAGUUUUACAGAUGGGGAAACAGACACAGAGAGGUUAAGUAAAAUGAAAAAUUAAAGUGGAGGUGUGCUGGUUAAUUUGGAACUGCACUUUGUGCUGUUUGAAAAAUUAGAAGGUGCUGUACCAGAUCUCCAUUAUUCUGCCAGAGAAAGCUACAUUUUGAUGUGCUGACUCCCCUGGUAGGAGCCACUGCCACAGUCAGGUACCCUGAAGCUGAACCUUCAUGUUCUCCGGCUGGGGAGCACACAUGAAAAAUUCCCACUAAAAGUAUCCUUCUGCCUAAAGUAAAACGUAGGCAGAGGUAUCUCCUGCUUCCAAGCAUAUUCCAUAACUAUGAGAAAAGAUUUUGAGAUAAAUAAUCUAUUUUGGUAAAAUCACUAGGAAGGAGCUAAGACAUGACCUGCUUGGAGAGCUAGAAAUUAUUAUCCCCAACACUCUAGAUAAUUGUCCUUUGCUCCUAUUAUUUGUAUUGCCAAGUCACAGACCAACACCAGGAAGGAACAGACCUCAUGUUGCAUAGGAAGGAGACUCCAGCCCAAAGAAACAGUGAGCAUGCCUUAACUCUGAAAAGAAAAAAAAAAUAUGAAGUGCAAGAGACAUACCAGCUUGAGGAAAUCACCCAGGUUUGCUAAAGAAGUGCAAGUUCGGCUCUGUUUUCCUGUAGCUGAAGUGCUUUUGAUUUUCAAAAGAAGAACCAUUAACUAAAGCGAAGUCCAGUGUUUUACUGGCUAAACCUAAGCCUGUGCACUACUGCCUGCUUUU